rnacentral:rRNA from 1 species
UACGUAGGUGACAAGCGUUGUCCGGAUUUACUGGGCGUAAAGAGCGCGCAGGCGGUCGAUCAAGUCGAGUGUGAAAGCCCCCGGCUCAACUGGGGAGGGUCAUUCGAUACUGAUCGACUCGAAGGCAGGAGAGGGUAGUGGAAUUCCCGGUGUAGUGGUGAAAUGCGUAGAUAUCGGGAGGAACACCAGUGGCGAAGGCGACUACCUGGCCCAUUCUUGACGCUGAGGCGCGAAAGCUAGGGGAGCGAACGGG